rnacentral:rRNA from 1 species
GGGAACUCUGACACAGGUGCUGCAUGGCUGUCGUCAGCUCGUGUCCGUGAGAUGUUGGGUUAACGUCCCGUAACGAGCGCAACCCUUGUCCUUAGUUACCAGCACGGUUAUGGUGGGCACUCUAAGGAGACUGCCGGUGACAAACCGGAGGAAGUGGGGAUGAACGUCAAGUCAUCCAUGGCCCUUACGGCCUGGGCUACACACGUGCUACAAUGGUCGGUACAAAGGGUUGCCAAGCCGCGAGGUGGAGCUAAUCCCAUAAAACCGAUCGUAGUCCGGAUCGCAGUCUGCAACUCGACUGCGUGAAGUCGGAAUCGCUAGUAAUCGUGAAUCAGAAUGUCACGGUGAAUACGUUCCCGGGCCUU